rnacentral:rRNA from 1 species
AUACGAGGGGUGCAAGCGUUAAUCGGAAUUACUGGGCGUAAAGCGUUCGUAGGCGGUUUGUUAAGCAAGAUGUGAAAGCCCAGGGCUCAACCUUGGAACUGCAUUUUGAACUGGCAAACUAGAGUACUGUAGAGGGUGGUGGAAUUUCCAGUGUAGCGGUGAAAUGCGUAGAGAUUGGAAGGAACAUCAGUGGCGAAGGCGGCCACCUGGACAGAUACUGACGCUGAGGAACGAAAGCGUGGGGAGCGAACAGGAUUAGAAACCCCAGUAGUCC